rnacentral:rRNA from 1 species
CACUUCUAAGGAAGGCAGCAGGCGCGCAAAUUACCCAAUCCUGACUCAGGGAGGUAGUGACAAGAAAUAACAAUAAACCGGCUUAUGCCGGUUUAAUUGGAAUGAGUACAAUUUAAACAUCUUAACGAGGAACAAUUGGAGGGCAAGUCUGGUGCCAGCAGCCGCGGUAAUUCCAGCUCCAAUAGCGUAUACUAAAGUUGUUGCAGUUAAAAAGCUCGUAGUUGGAUUUCUGUGGGGACGGAGCGGCCGGCCGCACAUCGCGGUUCGAGCUAGCGCUUUCCCUACAUCCUGCCGCGAACCGUGCUACCAUUAGUUUGGUGGCGCUGGGGAUCGGCUCGAUUACUUUGAGAAAAAUAGAGUGUUCAAAGCAGGCCACAUGCCUUGAAUAAGUUAGCAUGGAAUAAUAACUAAGGACUUCGGUUCUAUUUUGUUGGUGUUCGGGACUGAAGUAAUGAUUGAUAGGGACAGUUGGGGCGGUCUGUAUUCCAAAGCGAGAGGUGAAAUUCUUAGACCUUCGGAAGACAAACAGCUGCGAAAGCGUUCCGCAAGGAUGUUCCCUUUGAUCAAGAACGAAAGUUGGGGGAUCGAAGACGAUCAGAUACCGUCGUAGUCUCAACUAUAAACUAUACCAGCUAGGGAUCGGCCAACGUUAUUUUAUACCGACUUGGUCGGCACCUUAUGAGAAAUCAAAGCAUCUGGGUUCCGGGGGGAGUAUGGUCGCAAGGCUGAAACUUAAAGGAAUUGACGGAAGGGCACCACCAGCCGUGGAGCCUGUGGCUUAAUUUGACUCAACACGGGAAAACUUACCAGGUCCAGACAUAGUAAGGAUUGACAGAUUGAUAGCUCUUUCUUGAUUCUGUGGGUGGUGGUGCAUGGCCGUUCUUAGUUGGUGGAGUGAUUUGUCUGGUUAAUUCCGUUAACGAACGAGACCCCAGCCUGCUAAAUAGCGCGCGUGAGCUUUGCUCGCGGCGAGCUUCUUGGAGGGACUAUGAUGCGCGAUAGCACAUGGAAGUUUGGGGCAAUAACAGGUCUGUGAUGCCCUUAGAUGUUCUGGGCCGCACACGGGCUACACUGGCGCCUGCAACGAGCAUAUCAGCUGGCCCGAGAGGGUCUUGGCUAAUCUUUUGAACCGGCGCCGUGCUUGGGAUUGACCUUUGCAAUUGUUGGUCAUGCAACGAGGAAUGCCUUGUAAACGCGAGUCAUCAGCUCGCAUUGAAUACGUCCCUGCCCUUUGUACACACCGCCCGUCGCUCCUACCGAUGAAUGUUCCGAUGAAAUUUUCGGAGAGCACCUGUGAACUUGGCUCUGCCUUGCGAACGGGAGGCUCAAAGUCACUUAAAUCUGAACAUUUC